ACUUGUGAUGACUUCAUUUCAAAAUACAAACUAGAGUUUCUGAAUAAAAAUUUAUGAUUAGAAACGAAUGCAAAUAAACUGAAG
rnacentral:snoRNA from 15 species